rnacentral:rRNA from 1 species
AGCGAACGCUGGCGGCAGGCCUAACACAUGCAAGUCGAACGAACCUUUCGGGGUUAGUGGCGGACGGGUGAGUAACACGUGGGAACGUGCCUUUAUGUUCGGAAUAACUCAGGGAAACUUGUGCUAAUACCGAAUGUGCCCUUCGGGGGAAAGAUUAAUCGCCUUUAGAGCGGCCGGCGUCUGAUUAGCUAGUUGGUUGAGGUAAUGGCUCACCAAGGCGACGAUCAGUAGCUGGUCUGAGAGGCUGAUCAGCCACAUUGGGACUGAGACACAGCCCAAACUCCUACGGGAGGCAGGAGUGGGGAAUCUUGCGCAAUGGGCGAAAGCAUGACGCAGCCAUGCCGCGUGAAUGAUGAAGGUCUUAGGAUUGUAAAAUUCUUUCACCGGGGACGAUAAUGACGGUACCCGGAGAAGAAGCCCCGGCUAACUUCGUG